CUUGGUCAUUUAGAGGAAGUAAAAGUCGUAACAAGGUUUCCGUAGGUGAACCUGCGGAAGGAUCAUUAAGAAUUGAUAAUAUUUGUGAAUUUCAUACAAACAACAAUAAUACUAUAGUCAAAACCAAAAUAAUUAAAACUUUUAACAAUGGAUCUCUUGGUUCUCGUAUCGAUGAAGAACGCAGCGAAACGCGAUAUUUCUUGUGAAUUGCAGAAGUGAAUCAUCAGUUUUUGAACGCACAUUGCACUUUGGGGUAUCCCCCAAAGUAUACUUGUUUGAGCGUUGUUUCUCUCUUGGAAUUGCAUUGCUUUUCUAAAAAAUCGAAUCAAAUUCGUUUGAAAAACAACACUAUUCAACCUCAGAUCAAGUAGGAUUACCCGCUGAACUUAAGCAUAUCAAUAAGCGGAGGAAAAGAAACCAACAGGGAUUGCCUUAGUAACGGCGAGUGAAGCGGCAAAAGCUCAAAUUUGAAAUCGGCCUCCAGGUCGAGUUGUAAUUUGUAGAUUGUAUCUUGAGAGCGGCUUAAAGUCUGUUGGAACACAGCGCCUUAGAGGGUGACAGCCCCGUAAAAUCUAUUCUCAUUGUAAGAUACUUUCGAAGAGUCGAGUUGUUUGGGAAU
rnacentral:sRNA from 1 species